GCUGAUGUGGUGUAAUGGUGCAGACAUUCCAUUUGGAAUGAAGAAUGGGUUCAAAUCCCUUCAUCAGCA
rnacentral:tRNA from 1 species